AUGAACGCUGGCGGCGUGCCUAGUACAUGCAAGUCGAGCGAACAGACGAGGAGCUUGCUCCUCUGACGUUAGCGGCGGACGGGUGAGUAACACGUGGAUAACCUACCUAUAAGACUGGGAUAACUUCGGGAAACCGGAGCUAAUACCGGAUAAUAUAUUGAACCGCAUGGUUCAAUAGUGAAAGACGGUUUUGCUGUCACUUAUAGAUGGAUCCGCGCCGCAUUAGCUAGUUGGUAAGGUAACGGCUUACCAAGGCAACGAUGCGUAGCCGACCUGAGAGGGUGAUCGGCCACACUGGAACUGAGACACGGUCCAGACUCCUACGGGAGGCAGCAGUAGGGAAUCUUCCGCAAUGGGCGAAAGCCUGACGGAGCAACGCCGCGUGAGUGAUGAAGGUCUUCGGAUCGUAAAACUCUGUUAUUAGGGAAGAACAAAUGUGUAAGUAACUAUGCACGUCUUGACGGUACCUAAUCAGAAAGCCACGGCUAACUACGUG
rnacentral:rRNA from 1 species